rnacentral:rRNA from 1 species
GAUGAACGCUGGCGGCAGGCUUAAUACAUGCAAGUCGAACGGUAACAGUACUAGCAAUAGUAGCUGACGAGUGGCGCACGGGUGCGUAACGCGUAUGCAACCUACCCAUAACCGGAACAAAACGUUGAGAAAUUGGCGCUAAUAUUCCAUGUGUAUUUAAUAUGGCAUCAUAUAAAAUAUAAAGAACUUUGGUUAUGGAUGGGCAUGCGUAUCAUUAGCUAGUUGGGGAGGUAAUGGCUCACCAAGGCAACGAUGAUUAGGGGUUCUGAGAGGAAAAACCCCCACACUGGAACUGAGACACGGUCCAGACUCCUACGGGAGGCAGCAGUAGGGAAUAUUGGGCAAUGGAAGGAAUUCUGACCCAGCCAUGCCGCGUGCAGGAAUACAGUCCUAUGGACUUUAAACUGCUUUUAUUAUAGAGUAACCUGGGGGACGUGUCCCCCACUGCAAGUAUAUAAUGAAUAAGCAUCGGCUAACUCCGUGCCAGCAGCCG